GACAGAGGGUGCGAACGUUGCUCGGAAUUACUGGGCGUAAAGCGCGUGUAGGCGGUUUCGCAAGUCCGGUGUGAAAGCCCGGGCUUAACCCCGGAAUUGCACCUAAACUACUUGGCUAGAGCAUUGGAGAGGGGAGCAGAAUUCAUGGUGUAGCAGUGAAAUGCGUAGAUAUCAUGAGGAAUACCAGAGGCGAAGGCGGCUACCUGGACAAUUGCUGACGCUCAGGCACGAAAGCGUGGGAGCAAAAGGG
rnacentral:rRNA from 1 species